rnacentral:rRNA from 1 species
GAACGCUGGCGGCGUGCUUAACACAUGCAAGUCGAACGCUGAAGCUUGGUGCUUGCACUGGGUGGAUGAGUGGCGAACGGGUGAGUAAUACGUGAGUAACCUGCCCUUGACUCUGGGAUAAGCCUGGGAAACUGGGUCUAAUACUGGAUACGACAUGUCACCGCAUGGUGGUGUGUGGAAAGGGUUUUACUGGUUUUGGAUGGGCUCACGGCCUAUCAGCUUGUUGGUGGGGUAAUGGCUCACCAAGGCGACGACGGGUAGCCGGCCUGAGAGGGUGACCGGCCACACUGGGACUGAGACACGGCCCAGACUCCUACGGGAGGCAGCAGUGGGGAAUAUUGCACAAUGGGCGGAAGCCUGAUGCAGCGACGCCGCGUGAGGGAUGACGGCCUUCGGGUUGUAAACCUCUUUCAGCACGGAAGAAGCGAAAGUGACGGUACGUGCAGAAGAAGCGCCGGCUAACUACGUGCCAGCAGCCGCGGUAAUACGUAGGGCGCAAGCGUUGUCCGGAAUUAUUGGGCGUAAAGAGC